rnacentral:lncRNA from 1 species
UGUAGAAGUUCAUACCUUGAAGGGGGUUUAAGUUGAGUGAAAUGUGGGCUUGAAUGAUGGCGCGAGUUGAGGAGUGGAAAAGGGGAACAAAUUGGAGAGAGAAAAUGCAACAGUGGUCAGUCUUUGCUUGUGCUUUUCUGCUUUUUUUUAGUGAUGACUGCCAACACUCUACAAAAGAGUAGAGUGGGGGUGGAAGACCCUUGGGGGGGCCGGGGGCUGGGGGGAGGUGGAAAGUGAAGGAGUAUUAAUCAAUGGUUCACAUAAAACGUGGA